ensembl:lncRNA
GCAACAUUGCUUUUAUUGGGGGUUUGGGGGACAUAUGACAAAGUCUCAUAAAAUGUCAACAAAGUCACAUUUUGUGCUUGGCUACUCUUUAAAAAAUCCUGUUUAUUUAAAAAUCACUUAAUGAGAACUGUGUGAAAUAUGGCCAAUAAUCAUCAUUUUGAAAAAAGGACGAGCUGAGCCACAAGGAGGUCUAAGUCUGACAAUGCCAGAUACCUAAGUGGAAAUUUACAACAGUCAAAUAUUCAGGUACUUCCAAACAUCUAGAUGUUUGUCCUUAAGCAAUCCCAGCUUAAUUGACUCCUUCAAGACAGAAUUGCAUUUGGAACCUCUGUGUUAUCCACCUGACCAUUUUAUUAAGCAUUACUAAAUGCCAACCAAAUGUAAAGGGGCUGAUAAAGAAAAGUGAAAUUUCCUUAACUCUAGCUUUUUAUUGCCGAAGUACUCUUGAGUUAGUUACAUGGAUAAGUGAGGAUUAAAAUAGCAAAUAACUAUUGAUAUUUUCAAAAACAUAAGAACUAUUGAAACAAUCAUGUAUAAAUAGUCAUCAGAAGCACUUAUGAAUACAUACUGUGCACUAAGUUGAUUAAGAAAAUGCUCUUUAGGAGAUCUGAUUUGUUUGGGUAAACUGAGAAUUCCAAAUAACUUAAGAAUAUCAUUGAAGACAUUGUACACACAACUUGGGCCAUUACGUGUUCUUUGGGGAUGGACUGUUGACAAUUUCUGGAUCUAACGAUGUUAGUUCACAGCUAGCUAUUUGUCCCAUCGAGGUGAGAAGCCAAAGAGGUGCAGAAUUGAAGCCAUCUACUAGGUACAAUGCUCCCUGAUCACGCAGAUAGAACGUUUUCAUUGAUCAAAUUCGAGUUUCUACUUGAACAGGGUGGAGUAGUUCAAGAGCCUCUGAGACUAGACUGAAGGGCCUGGUUUCUGGACCUAGAUCCGCCACACUCAAAUGCGUCAUCUUCCAUAAGUCACUCUAACUAUAUGGAUUUAUCUCAUCUGUGAAAAAGAACAUUACAGUAGAUGACCUUUAAGCUCUCCCACCUCCCUUUUAAUUAUUCUCAAGAAUUUGAGAUUUCUUGCAGACCAAAGUGAACACCUCAUUAAAGUCUGGCAAAAAAAAAAAAAAAAAGCCUAAAAUGCUGAAAACCUCUGUUGCCCAAUUUUUUCAAUUUUCUAUCAUGAAAAUACAUUCUAUUAUUCAAGUGUUUUAACCAGAAAAUUAAAGUUUUUAUGGGAUAAUUAAAUAAAGUAACUAUUUGUUUACCAUAGAAAAACAUCAAAGCGUACAGAAGAAGUAGCAAUAUGGUGACAUUGACCACAACAUUCUGACUUCAUGCUUUAGAUAGAUCGUGAGCUUUGCAAUCGCAAUUCUGAAUAUAAACCCUGUAUACGGCACUUUGGCAAGUUACUUAAUCUCAUUAAACCUCAGUUUUCUUAUCUGUAACAUAGGGAUAAUAACACCUAUUUUGCAAGAUUGUUGGGAGGCUUAAGUGAGUUAAUAUGUAAGAUGCUUAACAGAUAGUGAGAACUCAAUAAAUACCAAUUACUAUUAGCUUAACAGAAAAAUCGCAAGUUCUCCUUAUAAUCACCAAUCACUCUCAUUUGCUUUAAUGGCAGAGAAAUGCAAUUACAAUUCUAGGUGAAAUCUGGAGUGGGAGAGGGGAAAUGUGUGUGCAAAUUCUUUACCAUAUAUGUAUAUAUAUGUUGGCAUUGAAUGUCUGAGGUGAAGUCAACUAGAUGUGUGUAUUCAUAAUUCCUAAACUCAGCAAGCAGGUUCCUUCUUCCAUGGUUUUGCUCACAAAACUGAUCCAUCUGAAGGACUCUGUUUUCUCCUUCCUUUCCAUUUAUCUGAAUCUUUAACAUCCUUUGAGAUUCAUCUUAUAUUUUCCUCCUUUGGGAACUUUCUUCCUAAACAGACCAGUUUUGUCCAGCUCAUGGUGACCUCCUCUAAGCUCCUUGUUUGUAUCCUUUAUUUUGUUUUGGUUUUGCUCUUAUCGUCUAUUGACCCAAUUUGUUACUUAUCUUUUCAAAAGUUUAUGUACCUCUGUCUGACUAGAUUUAAACUCUAGAAGUAGUAACGAUGUCUCACAGAACCUAGCUUACUUGAUUAAAAAAAUGGUUGAUUGUUGGUGUCAGGUGGAAUAAUUUGAUAUUUCUAUGCUGCAUUAUGAGUGUUUUACACCGCUAUUUUAUCCUUUGGAUUGCCUCUGACUCCGUUGUUAUUUCGAAAGUACUUUAUUUUCUCUAGGUUACUCUUAAGAUCAAACUCUGUGUGUGGCUAAAAAUCAAUCUACUUAUAGCAUUAAUUUUGUUAUAACAUUAACACAUUUGUGCCAUUUUUGAUUUUAAAAUCACUGCAUUAAUAAGCAUGUUCAUACUAGGAAAAAUUUUAAAAAGUGAAUGUCACACCGAAUUUAAAUACAAACAGAGGAAUACACACGAGGAAGGGAAAGUCCUUGGCUCCUUAGAAAUCUAAUCUAGAUGUUGUUAAGUUUUUCCGUUUCUUGAAAAGAUUGCCUCUUGUUCUGAGAGUUCUGUUGGCUGAAACUGUCCCAUUUGGGUGUGCUGCUUAGCAGGAGAGGUUUCUUCAGGUGAUGGCUUUCUUUGUUUCAACUUCAUAGUUGGCUUGCGCGUCCUUCAGUGCAUCGGUCUCUGUAGUCUUUGUCCUUUCACUGGGGAGACAUUCCUGGGGGGGGGGGGGCUAUAGGAUCAGCUGAAAGGAACAUCAACACAACUAAAAGAAUAACAGAACAUGUCACGGAAAGUUAUCACAUUGACUCUUUAAUAAAAAUAAAUAAAUGUAAUGAUACUUUGGAGGCUAUGCUGUUUCUAACUACAAGUGAAAUUCUGCAUCACCGGAAAAAUGUAGCUCUUUCUCAUUGUUCACUUUGCUCAAGAAUUGGUCAAGCAAGUGUAUCGCUUGAGUGUGUGUGGGAGCACCACUUAAUUGCUCUGGGAGAAAAUGCUCCAUCAGAAAAACUUCAGGUUUAUCCAACAGGCAACUUACUGAAAUAGGACACGCAGGAAAACAACAAAAGAACACAGGACGUUAAGGACACACUCAAAAAAUCUGAAGACUAAACACAAAAUAAAAUAACUGUGAGUUCAUAAGUGCUGAGCAAUGCAGGAGUGAAUGAAGUCACUAGAAUGAUUAGGAGUUAAUGUUAAUUCCUCGUAUUUGUCUUUGUAUUUCUAGUGCCUCGCUCUGAGCAUGACAUGGUACCCACUGAAAGAAAGAAUGAAAGAACAAAAGGGAGGGAGGGAGGGAGGAAGGAAGGUAGGCAGGAAAGAAAGAAGAACAGAGAGAGAAAUAGUGAAGGAGGAGGGAGGGGGAGAAAGAAAAGAAGAAAAGAAAGGUUUCCAAAAUGCAGACGGGCCGAGAGACAGAGUGUGCAGAGAGAAAGGCAGGGUGCGAGCAAGUUCAAAGACUUGGGAGCCAGGGACGGCAGGUUCACUUAAUUCAAAAAGAGAUUACACAUUCAGAGUGGUUUCAGAAAAUGCGGUGGGACAAUUUUCAGGAGGUUUUGAAAACGUUAGGAUUUAAUCUGGGAAGUGUGCUGUAUUACUGUAACUAUCGUAGUAACACAAUUUAAUGAAUCAAGUGGAAAGGGAAUUGUGAAACUCGAAGGCAUCAACCCAACGGGAAAAAACAAACCAUAUUGCAAGAAAUUAGACGAAGACAGAAGGACUAAAGAAUAUGGUCUUAAAAUAGAAAGGCAGGUGCUUGUCUGGGUUUCUUCUAUGUUAAUGUUAAAGGAAAUGGGCUUAGAACUCAGAUCAAGAAUUUCCUUCUCCCACUGUGUAGCUUUUUUCAUUCCUCAGCUGUUCUUCUUUUCUGACACUGCCCUUCCUGAAAAUGAACUUCAGUCUUUACUGUUUUAGCAUCAAGGCAAAGUAUGUUAGUAAAUACAGUACCUGGAGGUGGAAUCAAAUAUAACUUGAAAGGGCAACUGUCGGUACAAACAGACUCUGGAUUCAAGGGGUCUGGAGUUGUUCUUGUACCUCUAUACUUUAGAAUAGUUUCCAAAAUUUUUAGAACUGUAAAAGAAUUUAGAGACCAACUAAUCCAACUCACACACGUUACAGAUAAGGCUGUUUGGGAAGAGAUGUAUUAAUGUUUCUUUUAUUUUACAAAAGUUAUUAUGAAUGAAACACACUUUGCAGGUGGAUUUUAAUUUAACUAAAGUGUUUAUUGUCAGCCUCUUCAUUAUGCCAGCACAAUGGAGAUGCAUAAUGAGUUAGGCACAGCAAAAGGGACACACUACCACAUACCACUGCUUUCUGCCCUAAACGCUUUGGGUACAUUGAAGAUGUUGCUUCUCUAGAUGACAGGUAUAUUUUUUCCCCUAAAACCUGUAAAACAACCUACUGUUAAAUAUUGUUAAUAGGUAUUUUUCUGUUCUGAUCAAGCAUGCAAUAACUGAUCCCGGAUGAGUAAUUAAAUAUACAUCUUACAGAUUUUAGAAUUCAUUAUUUUGUGAACAUAGAGUGAGAGGGUGGGGUGCUAAGCUUUUGAUACACGUAUGAAAGACUCAUUUGCAAAUAAAUUAAAAUGCUACUGUAGUAAGGAAGGAUGUUUCACAGAAUUUUUUGGUGACUCCUUUGCAUGGCUAAUAAUGGAAAGUCCUUGUAUACAUGAGCAGAUGAAAAGUAAACCAAUGUAUUUCUUUAGUGUUACAUAGAGACGGCUCAUGUAAAAUACCUUUUUUAUAAUAUGGACCCCAUUAUUAAAAUAAAUUUUGAGAAAUAAAUAGUAUAAAUAUGUGAAACACCAUAUUCUAGGUGUCUAUUAUAAGUCAAAUGUUUAACAAACCAGCUUUCUUUGGAGCCUCUGCCUACUUAAUUGGAAUGAGUAAUAUCUUGUAUCAUCUCAACAUGAGCCUCCCUUGGAAUCCUUUUUGUCUCCUGAACAUAUAAGCAUAAAUUGGGAUCCUUGCAUCGUCUUGCUUAGGGUCCCUCUGUGAUCUGAUGGUAAUGAUUCUCUGAAUUUGCAUCAAGAGCAUCUUCUCCUACUGAGCACAUAGCAAGUGCCAAGUGCCAGGCUGACCAAUCAACUCACAGGUGCUCUGUCUGGCAUCUUCCUUAAUAGCUAGAUCUUCAGGGGUCAGCUCCUUGGAGGAGGAUCUCCAGUCCAAGGAGACCCCAUGUCGAGACACCAAAAGGGAAGUUGAUGUUAGUGCACAAAUGACCUAAGGCAGAGAUUCAGUGAUUCAUCAUGUGCCAUGCAAAAUGGAGGAAAAAUAGAGAAGAAGUUGUUUAUUAUUGUUAUGAUUUUGAUUGCUUUGAUUAGAUUAAAAUUAUUAUCUCUGCCUAAGGCCAUUUCCCUGGCAUUUUAUCUCAUUAUUCCAAUAAAGGAAAUGGAUUUCCUAUGAGUAAGAUUUACUAUUCUAAUAUUCUCCAUUACUUCGAGUCGUCCAAAGUCAGGAUGAAAACGAAAUCAGUAAAGAGUAGCAAAUAUUUUACAAAUAACUCAAGUGUCCACAAUGACAAUCCUUUUAGAGAUCAUUAAUUUCCAACAUCUAGGUCACACGCAUUUAUUCUUGCCUGAGAAUGCUAACUGUAUAGUCCUUUUAUCCUUAUACUCGUUAACAAGAAUUUUUUUUAAAAGCUGACUUUAAAAACAUUCUACUCAGGAGCCAUUUCAAAUGAUGAGAAAUGCCCAAGGAAAAAAAAUCUCAAGUAGGCAACAUGUAAAGCAACACACAACUAUAUGCGCAUUAGUAUAAUUACACAUUGCAAAUGAUAUCGGAUGUAUCUAAUAUCUAAUUUUUUGAAAGCUGAUUCCACUUGAGAUUUCAAUAACAGCAUCAACAUUUUGCAGGUGGCUCCUUCUGUAUAGUAUCCAAAGGGAAUUAUUCCUCUAAUGUGCUUCAACCCUCAAGUAAAAGCUGAAGCUCUCCCUUAAAGAACCAAUGAACAAUGAACACCGAGAAUAUUACCUUGAUAGAUAAAGCAAGGGGGGAGGGUGCCACCAAACAUGGAUUCAGCAUGGUUAUUUAUUCUAUUCCUUCUGUGCAUAGGGUCCUUAUUUGCUUCAAGUAAUAAGAAACAAACUUAAAUACAAGCCUCUUUAGAAAAUGUGGAGGAGGCUUCAUAUAUAUAUAUUCUGAGCAAUAAUAUGAAAAGCUAAGAGGCUGAUGGUUUUUUAGAUCAACUGAUAAAAGAGAAAUGUGCAGUUGAAUGGCAGAUUAUACCUUUGACUGAAAACAGAGAGCCCGACAAUAAAUUCCGCUCUUAUAAAACAUACGAUUAAUUUGUCCUAAAUAGGAUGCUGGAUCAAACCUCCAUUUUGAGGAAUAAGCUUUUGUCCUCAUCUUUCUGAAUCAAUCAUCAAAUAACCAAAUAUAUAUUUUUGAUCUUGGAGAAUGGAGCAUAUUAUUCAAGUUGAUUGGAUCCAUUUUCUUGAUUCCUCCUUAAAGAUCUUUCUGCUAAUUAGUCAGGGUUACUAUUGAAUUAUUUAAUUAUCUGCACUUCUGUGCAAUGAAAUAUGUUGUCAUAUCACAUACUUUAUCAUGUUGUUGCUGUUCACACUUAAUGAUCCCUCUAUAGUUAGCAGAGUCCUUUGUUCUGCUCAGUAAGUGGUUCUAGAAAGGGGGUGGGCCCAGAAAGGAGGAGCCUUGGGGUUUGUAAAAUAAAAUCAUACAUUCCUGGUGCACAUGCAAAACUUUAUGCAUUUACAUGAAUUUCCUUUCAGAAAUUAAGUUGCAAUUCCAUUUGGAAUCAGCUAAGAGGCACAUGUCGGUGACUUCGAAUGCAGCCAGAACGAUAUGACUGUACCUUGAACAUCUCUCCAGUGCAUUUCCACUGCAGUGCAAUGCUUUAAUUUACAACAAGCACGAAUGACUGCGAAGAAAAUGAGGCAUCGCUUUCCCCUUGGGCCAGCAUGCCGCAUGCAAAAUCAUAGAAAUCAGAAGGAGAAGACCAAGAGGUAAGAUUUGGAGGCUGUUAAAAGUAUAAAUACGAAUAGCGUUGGAAACUCACCCAUCGGAAGCGGAGCAGGGCUGCAGCCUCCUGUAGCACCAUUCCGAGCAAGGGGGGGAAUGUGAGCUCGAGUGCGCUAGCCUGGGCGAGGUGUUUCAACAGAGGACGGAGAACUGGGCGGAGAGGGGGAGGCGGGGGCAGGAAGCGAUACACCAAAUCUAGAGACUGUAACUCUGUCGUUUAUGCUUCGACGAGAGAGAAAAAAGGCAAUUUGGUGGGAGUGGAGGGAAGCACUGGGACUGAUCAAAU